rnacentral:lncRNA from 1 species
GGAGAGACAGCUUUUUUUUCCCAUUCUCCUCUCUUUGUCUCUUUUCUGAGAAAAUACUGCUUUGAGCGAAUCUUUUUGAAAGCACAGAGAUAAAUUUAUUUAAAGCUGGCAUUUUCACUGCUGCUACUGAGUCUGCUGCUGACUCUGCAAGUGACCUUGAGCAUGCAGAGAAUAGGACAUUUGGUGGUCAGGAAAUCAGGUAAGGACCAAGUUGAUGGUUAAAACAUGAGAUUCAAAAGCUGAGAAUCAAGGGGAAAGCUCCCAUCCGAGAUGGUGUGAAAGGAUUAAAUGAAUUCAAACAAUUCCAGUGAUGCCAUGAUGGGACAGAGUAAUGAGAGAAGGAACCUGGCCAUAAGGAAGUUGUGGAAAUGAUUGACACUGUGCUCAGGCUGGGAAGCCAUCAAAAGGUGGAAUUUUGGACUUCUGGGAAGAUGGCAGAGAAGUUAGCAGCAAUAAAUCAACCUUUCCAAGAUUCCAAAUCCAGUCACUGGAAAAUAACAACCUGGGCAAGAAAAGAAGGAGGGAGGUGGACCCCUGGGACCCAGGAAGGAUCUGAAGGGAAAAUUGGAUCUCACAGAGAAAGUGAAGAGACUGACUUCAAUGCAGAAAAAGGAGGGGGAAAACUGCACUUUCUCCCCAGCCCCUGGCUCAAAGCAUGAGAGAGGAGAAUCAAAUCUACAGAUACCAGUGGAGGCAGGGGACUCCAAAGGCCUCCAGGGAGAAAUGCAACAGUGGAUGUUGUGUGCUACAAUUGCUGGUGACUGACUCCAGGCCAACUGACUUCUAGGUCUCCUGCUAUGCUUGGGCAGAUGC